UACGUGUGGAGCAAGCGUUAUCCGGAUUUACUGGGUGUAAAGGGAGCGUAGGCGGCAGAGCAAGUCUGAAGUGAAAUCCCCGGGCUCAACUCGGGAACUGCUUUGGAAACUGCUUUGCUUGAGUGCCGGAGAGGUAAGUGGAAUUCCUAGUGUAGCGGUGAAAUACGUAGAUAUUAGGAGGAACACCAGCGGCGAAGGCGGCUUACUGGACGAUUACUGACGCUGAGGCUCGAAAGCGUGGGGAGCAAAC
rnacentral:rRNA from 1 species